AUUGAACGCUGGCGGCAGGCUUAACACAUGCAAGUCGAGCGGGGGAAGGUAGCUUGCUACCGGACCUAGCGGCGGACGGGUGAGUAAUGCUUAGGAAUCUGCCCAUUAGUGGGGGACAACAUCUCGAAAGGGAUGCUAAUACCGCAUACGUCCUACGGGAGAAAGCAGGGGAUCUUCGGACCUUGCGCUAAUAGAUGAGCCUAAGUCGGAUUAGCUAGUUGGUGGGGUAGAGGCCUACCAAGGCGACGAUCUGUAGCGGGUCUGAGAGGAUGAUCCGCCACACUGGGACUGGGCCACGGCCCAGACUCCUACGGGGGGCAGCAGUGGGGAAUAUGGGACAAUGGGGGUAACCCUGAUCCAGCCAUGCCGCGUGUGUGAAGAAGGCCUUAUGGUUGUAAGGCACUUUAAGCGAGGAGGAGGCUCUUUUGGUUAAUACCCAAGAUGAGUGGACGUUACUCGCAGAAUAAGCACCGGCUAACUCUGUGCCAGCCGCCGCCGUAA
rnacentral:rRNA from 1 species